GUCCUUGCGUCUACAGCCUGGGCGUUUCGCGUAAGGCUGAUGGCUGGUGGCAGUUGCCACCGGCCU
rfam:Pseudomonas tuomuerensis strain JCM 14085 PT85_13, whole genome shotgun sequence.